rnacentral:rRNA from 1 species
CGGGACGGGUGAGUAAUGUCUGGGAAACUGCCUGAUGGAGGGGGAUAACUACUGGAAACGGUAGCUAAUACCGCAUAACGUCGCAAGACCAAAGAGGGGGACCUCAGGGCCUCUUGCCAUCGGAUGUGCCCAGAUGGGAUUAGCUAGUAGGUGGGGUAACGGCUCACCUAGGCGACGAUCCCUAGCUGGUCUGAGAGGAUGACCAGCCACACUGGAACUGAGACACGGUCCAG